rnacentral:rRNA from 1 species
AUUGAACGCUGGCGGCAGGCUUAACACAUGCAAGUCGAGCGGGGGAAGGUAGCUUGCUACCGGACCUAGCGGCGGACGGGUGAGUAAUGCUUAGGAAUCUGCCUAUUAGUGGGGGACAACAUCUCGAAAGGGAUGCUAAUACCGCAUACGUCCUACGGGAGAAAGCAGGGGAUCUUCGGACCUUGCGCUAAUAGAUGAGCCUAAGUCGGAUUAGCUAGUUGGUGGGGUAAAGGCCUACCAAGGCGACGAUCUGUAGCGGGUCUGAGAGGAUGACCCGCCACAGUGGGACGGAGACCCGGCCCAGACUCCUCCGGGGGGAAGCAGUGGGGAAUAUUGGACAAUGGGGGGAACCCUGUCCCAGCCAUGCCGCGUGUGUGAAGAAGGCCUUAUGGUUGUAAAGCACUUUAAGCGGGGAGGAGGCUACUUUAGUUAAUACCUAGAGAUAGUGGACGUUACUCGCAGAAUAAGCACCGGCUAACUCUGUGCCAGCCGCCGCGGUAA